rnacentral:misc_RNA from 1 species
GAUGAAGAACGUAGCGAAAUGCGAUAAGUAGUGUGAAUUGCAGAAUUCAGUGAAUCAUCGAAUCUUUGAACGCACAUUGCGCCCUUUGGUAUUCCAAAGGGCAUGCCUGUUCGAGCGUCAUUUGUACCCUCAAGCUUUGCUUGGUGUUGGGCGUCUUGUCUCCAGUUCGCUGGAGACUCGCCUUAAAGUAAUUGGCAGCCGGCCUACUGGUCUCGGAGCGCAGCACAAGUCGCGCUCUCUUCCAGCCAAGGUCAGCAUCCACAAAGCCUUUUUUCAACUUUUGACCUCGGAUCAGGUAGGGAUACCCGCUGAACUUAAGCAUAUCAAUAAGCGGAGGA